rnacentral:rRNA from 1 species
CCUACGGGAGGCAGCAGUGAGGAAUAUUGGUCAAUGGACGAGAGUCUGAACCAGCCAAGUAGCGUGAAGGAUGACUGCCCUAUGGGUUGUAAACUUCUUUUAUAUGGGAAUAAAAUGUUCCACGUGUGGGAUUUUGUAUGUACCAUAUGAAUAAGGAUCGGCUAACUCCGUGCCAGCAGCCGCGGUAAUACGGAGGAUCCGAGCGUUAUCCGGAUUUAUUGGGUUUAAAGGGAGCGUAGGUGGAUUGUUAAGUCAGUUGUGAAAGUUUGCGGCUCAACCGUAAAAUUGCAGUUGAAACUAGCAGUCUUGAGUACAGUAGAGGUGGGCGGAAUUCGUGUUGUAGCGGUGAAAUGCUUAGAUAUCACGAAGAACUCCGAUUGCGAAGGCAGUUCACUGGACUGCAACUGACACUGAGGCUCGAAAGUGUGGGUAUCAAACAGGAUUAGAUACCCCUGUAGUC